rnacentral:rRNA from 1 species
CCUACGGGUGGCAGCAGUGGGGAAUAUUGCACAAUGGGGGAAACCCUGAUGCAGCGACGCCGCGUGAGUGAAGAAGUAUCUCGGUACGUAAAGCUCUAUCAGCAGUGAAUUGACUGUACCUGCAAAGGAAGCACCGGCUAACUCCGUGCCAGCAGCCGCGGGAAGACGGAGGGUGCGAGCGUUAAUCGGAAUUACUGGGCGUAAAGCGCUCGUAGGCGGUAUGUCAAGUCAAGUGUGAAAUCCCCGCGCUGAACGUGGGAACUGCCUUUGAAAAUGGCAAACUGGAGUGGUGGAGAGGAUAGUGGAAUUCAAGGUGUAGGAGUGAAAUCCGUAGAUAUCUGGAGGAACAUCAGUGGCGAAGGCGACUCUCUGGCACAUAACUGACGCUGAGGAGCGAAAGCGUGGGUAGCAAACAGGAUUAGAUACCCGUGUAGUC